rnacentral:tRNA from 1 species
CCGCCGCGGGGGUAGUCGGUUUCGAGCCACGCGACCUUCCACGUCGCGGGCGCGUUCGGACCGGGCCGGCUCGCGCCCGGUGCGGCGGGC